GUGCCAGCCGCCGCGGUAAUACCGGCAGCUCGAGUGAUGUCCAAUAUUAUUGGGCCUAAAGCGUCCGUAGCUGGCCAGCCAAGUUCGUCGGGAAAUCCACCUGCUCAACAGGUGGGCGUCCGGCGAAAACUGUCUGGCUUGGAACCGGAAGGCUCAGAGGGUACGUCGAGGGUAGGAGUGAAAUCCCGUAAUCCUCGACGGACCACCGAUGGCGAAAGCACUCUGAGAAGACGGCUUCGACAGUGAGGGACGAAAGCUAGGGUCUCAAACCGGAUUAGAAACCCCUGUAGUCC
rnacentral:rRNA from 1 species